rnacentral:rRNA from 1 species
AUUGAACGAAGGCGGAAUGCUUGACACAAGCAAGUCGAACGGCAGCACGGGAGCUUGAUAAAAAGUGGCGAGUGGCGAACGGGUGAGUAAUGUGUCGGAACGUACCGAGUAAUGGGGGAUAACGCGGCGAAAGUCGCGUUAAUACCUCAUACGCCCUGAGGGGGAAAGUGGGGGAUCGCAAGACCUCACGUUAUUCGAGCGGCCGACGUCUGAUUAGCUUGUUGGUGAGGUAAUGGCUCACCAAGGCGACGAUCAGUAGCGGGUCUGAGAGGAUGAUCCGUCACACUGGAACUGAGACACGGUCCAGACUCCUACGGGAGGCAGCAGUGGGGAAUUUUGGACAAUGGGGGCAACCCUGUUCCAGGCAUUCCGCGUGAGUGAAGAAGGCCUUCGGGGGAU